rnacentral:rRNA from 1 species
GACGAACGCUGGCGGCGUGCUUAACACAUGCAAGUCGAACGGUGAAGCGCUUUCCUUUUUGGUUGGUGUGGAUGAGUGGCGAACGGGUGAGUAACACGUGAGUAACCUGCCCCCUUCUUCUGGAUAACCGCAUGAAAGUGUGGCUAAUACGGGAUAUUCUGCGCCUGCUGCAUGGUGGGUAUGGGAAAGAUUGUGCCUUUGGGUGUUUUCGGUGGGGGAUGGGCUCGCGGCCUAUCAGCUUGUUGGUGGGGUGAUGGCCUACCAAGGGGGUGACGGGUAGCCGGCCUGAGAGGGUGGACGGUCACACUGGGACUGAGACACGGCCCAGACUCCUACGGGAGGCAGCAGUGGGGAAUAUUGCACAAUGGGCGCAAGCCUGAUGCAGCGACGCCGCGUGAGGGAUGGAGGCCUUCGGGUUGUGAACCUCUUUCGCCAGUGAAGCAGGCCUGCUCCGUGUGGGUGGGUUGACGGUAGCUGGAUAAGAAGCGCCGGCUAACUACGUG